rnacentral:lncRNA from 1 species
CCAAGAUAGUCGCAAUGUAAGAUGUUGUAUUUUGAUAUAUUAAGUAGUGGAGAAGCUUAAAGACGUUGAAUAAAUCUCAAAUGAGUUAGGAUGAAGAAGUUAUUUCACUUUCAAAUCAGGUGAUCCCUAAUUUCGUGAUUGGAAAAAUGACAACUUCUUUGUCAUUCUAAUCAAACCAGGUUGAAUUGCGAUAUAAAAAGCUUGAUUUGGAUACAUAAAA